AGUUGUGGCUAUACCACUCUGAAUGUGCCCAAUCUUGUCCGGUCUCAGAAGCUAAGCAGGGUCUGGCCUGGUUAGUACUUGGAUGGGAGACAGAUCUUCAGAGGAGACUGUUC
rnacentral:rRNA from 1 species